GUCAAUCAUCAGGAGAGAUUACAAUAAAGUAAUCCACCAACCGACCCAAAAGGGCACGGUGGUUUGAUCCUUAAACGGUAGAUGUGCCUCAGAAGAGGAAUCUUAAAGCCGCCUGA
rnacentral:ncRNA from 1 species